rnacentral:rRNA from 1 species
AAGUCGUAACAAGGUUUCCGUAGGUGAACCUGCGGAAGGAUCAUUAACGAGAGUGGUGUGGUGCUGUAGGGUGUUGUGUUGUGUUGUAGAGUGAUGGAAUGAUGGAAUGAUGGGUUUAAUCACCUAUCCUACAUAUCAUAUCUCCAACUCCAUCUCCAACUCAUCCUAUACGCUCGCCUCAACAAACGCAAGGCAUUUGCCUUGUUUCACGCUUGUCUUUGUUUGUCAAACUAACUACUUUACUUUUAUGAAUGAUAACUUUUAACAAUGGAUCUCUUGGCUCUUGCAACGAUGAAGAACGCAGUAAAGUGCGAAAUGUAAUGCGAUUUGCAUGAAUCUGUGAGUCAUUUAAUCUUUGAACGCAACUUGCACCCAUUCGUGGGUAUGUUUGUUUGAGACGGCAAAACCGUGGAUCUGACCGGUAUGGCCAUGACUUAUGUCUUGGCUCAAAAGCAGCAAGAUAACAGCAUGUUGAUAACGGAAUUUGCUAGAGCUAGAGACGCAAGUCUUUUCUAUGCAAAUCGAACGCAAUAUAUAUAUCCGUCUCAAAUCAAGCAAGAUUACCCGCUGAACUUAAGCAUAUCAGUAAGCGGAGGAAAAGAAACUAACAAGGAUUCCCUCAGUAACGGCGAGUGAAGCGGGAAUAGCUCAAAAUUGAAAUCUCAAUGGUAACAUUGCGAAUUGUAGUCUAAAGAAGUGUAAUGUGGCUGAAUGGGUUGAUCAAGUCCUUUGGAACAGGGCACCACAGAGGGUGACAGUCCCGUGGAUCAAUCCUAACAUCCAUCGCACUCUCCAAGAGUCGAGUUGUUUGGGAAUGCAGCUCAAAGCGGGUGGUAAAUCUCAUCCAAGGCUAAAUAUUGGCAAGAGACCGAUAGCGAACAAGUACCGUGAGGGAAAGAUGAAAAGCACCUUGAAAAGGGAGUUAAACAGUACGUGAAAUUGUUAAAAGGGAAACGAUAGAGACCAGAGCAGGGCAAGCGGUAUGGGUUAUAGUAUAGCUAUGAUCUGCAGCCGCUUGUCCGAGUCAUUACUUGUUAUGAUUGUUCAAUAGAUCACUGGGAAAGGUGGAGUAGCACAACGUGUUGCUCUUUAUAGACCCGGUUGAUUAGGAUGAUUGUGACAUGUCCAUUGAGGAAGGAUUCUAUACGGUAUUCAUAUCGUACAGCCAUCCCCCACCUCAUUCUACUGACGAAUUGGUCUUUAACGACC